rnacentral:rRNA from 1 species
GCGAGAAUAUUCGACAAUGGACGAAAGUCUGAUCGAGCGACGCCGCGUGUACGAUGAAGUUUUUCGGAAUGUAAAGUACUUUUAUGAGGGAAGAACGUUGACGGUACCUCAUGAAUAAGUGGUUGCUAACUCUGUGCCAGCAGCAGCGGUAAUACAGAGACCACAAGCGUUAUCCGGAAUUACUGGGCGUAAAGCGCGCGUAGGUGGUUUGUUAAGUUGGAUGUGAAAUCCCCGGGCUCAACCUGGGAACUGCAUUCAAAACUGACAAGCUAGAGUAUGGUAGAGGGUGGUGGAAUUUCCUGUGUAGCGGUGAAAUGCGUAGAUAUAGGAAGGAACACCAGUGGCGAAGGCGACCACCUGGACUGAUACUGACACUGAGGUGCGAAAGCGUGGGGAGCAAACAGGAUUAGAUACCCCGGUAGUCCCUGAGCGGGCUGGCAAGGCGCAU